CCCAGCUACCCAAAGUAAGCACACGGCCCAGUCUGAGGCCGGCAUCCUCCGGCGCGCGACAGGGCUACGCCGCCGCCGCGGCGGCGGCGGCGGCGGCGGCGGCGGCGCACCUGCUCCUGACAACUCGGUUGCCGGAUUCCAGGGCGGAAGUGCCAGUGACAGUUCGGCACGCUCCUAAGUUUUUGUACUGGAUGCCUGGACUAUUGUGUGCUGCGCAAAGAGCCACCUCCAUCUGUUAAGUUUUAUUGAAAAGACUGGCACUGACAAUCUACAUUCGUGGCCAAUGAAUUCAAUUAAUAUGGAGGACAGCAUGGUCUCUUUGAGAGGCAAAUCAGGAAAGAAGUACUGAUUGAGGGGUGGACUCAAUCAAUUUCUCUCUUGCCUGCAAAUGGUGAUGGCUACUGAUAUUGGUGAGCUAGGAGCCUAAGGACAAAGUUGGCGGUGACUCGGUUUUCUUUCUUCUACAUGAGAGUUCUCAACACCUUCUCUCAGCACUAACUGUAGUGUGGUUCACAAUAUAUUUCGUAUGUCAUCACGACACAAGCCGCCCCCAUCGACCAUGGCUGUCAAUGGAGCUUUUGGGUCAAAAUUCACUACGACCAUUGCUUUUCUUCAGGCUCAAUAAACCAAGUUUGCGUGUCGUGUGUAUGAAGAUAUGUUUGCAUUUGGAAUAACCAAAGAAGUUAACUUUUGAGAGCUGGCUAGUCACUUUUGACAUUUUGUGGAUUUCUCGGCAGGUAACGUUUGUUCUAUAUAGAUUUCUAGCAAAGGACAAUUCGCCUGUCCUCUUCCAUGAUUCAGAAAUGACGAAACAAAGAAGACCUGGGACUCCAGAAACACGGCGAUUUCCACGGCAUCAAACAGAAUAGAAUUUACAGCCAACUCUAACCUCUGUUCCACACCAUCUGGGUUCACCAUUUCGUGUGCUGUUGUAACUCGUUGACAAAAUGCAUCCCAAGUCUUAGUUUUUCAGCAACAAUUGUGUUAUGUGCCUAUGUUUAUGACUAAAUAAUAGGGUCAAUAGUAUUCUUCCUGGAGAAUGGUUGUGAUGAUGGGAGUGAGGACAUCUUCUUUGACGAGGCUGAUGCAACUACCUUUCUUACUAUUUCACCGGAUGAUUUGGUUUGCAAUCUUUUUCAGUGAAUUUUCUCA